rnacentral:rRNA from 1 species
AUUGAACGCUGGCGGCAGGCCUAACACAUGCAAGUCGAGCGGCAGCACAGAGAAACUUGUUUCUCGGGUGGCGAGCGGCGGACGGGUGAGUAAUGCCUGGGAAAUUGCCCUGAUGUGGGGGAUAACCAUUGGAAACGAUGGCUAAUACUGCAUGAUGCCUACGGGCCAAAGAGGGGGACCUUCGGGCCUCUCGCGUCAGGAUAUGCCCAGGUGGGAUUAGCUAGUUGGUGAGGUAAGGGCUCACCAAGGCGACGAUCCCUAGCUGGUCUGAGAGGAUGAUCAGCCACACUGGAACUGAGACACGGUCCAGACUCCUACGGGAGGCAGCAGUGGGGAAUAUUGCACAAUGGGCGCAAGCCUGAUGCAGCCAUGCCGCGUGUGUGAAGAAGGCCUUCGGGUUGUAAAGCACUUUCAGUUGUGAGGAAGGUGGUGUCGUUAAUAGCGGCAUCAUUUGACGUUAGCAACAGAAGAAGCACCGGCUAACUCCGUGCCAGCAGCCGCGGUAAUACGGAGGGUGCGAGCGUUAAUCGGAAUUACUGGGCGUAAAGCGCAUGCAGGUGGUUUGUUAAGUCAGAUGUGAAAGCCCGGGGCUCAACCUCGGAACUGCAUUUGAAACUGGCAGACUAGAGUACUGUAGAGGGGGGUAGAAUUUCAGGUGUAGCGGUGAAAUGCGUAGAGAUCUGAAGGAAUACCGGUGGCGAAGGCGGCCCCCUGGACAGAUACUGAGACUCAGAUGCGAAAGCGUGGGGAGCAAACAGG